GGUGUGCCAUUUCCCCUCCCCGCUCCGCCGGCCAUCAGCGCUCUCCCGCCAGCCCGAACCCCUCGCGGCUCGACCCGCCGCCCGCGGACGCCUUUCCAAAGCCCUGAGGAAAGGAAAAAGCGGCGUUUCCAGCGGGCAGGUCGUUCCGGACAAGGGCUGGCGGCGGCUCUCGCUCGGCAUUUCGCCAUCGUAACCCACCCCCUGCAACAAGUGACGACCUCUGCCCGCCCCGGGCAGCGCGGCCCGGCGCCGGAGGGAGCCGUUAUGUAACGGGCGGGACGCCGGCACCGCGCAUCCCCCCGGGCCGCACGGCUGAGGCCCGACCCUCGGGCUCGGAGGGUCUCUGGGGCGAGGAACGGGGCAGCCCGGCGCAGAUCUUUUCAGCAAAAAAGCGCCUGUGUUGUUCCUGCCUCACCCAACACUGGCGGCAGACAGCAAGGCCACCAGCAGCACGCCCAGCACGGCGCUGGUGCCAGGACGCACAAACCCUGGUCGCCUGCUGGGCUCUGACCCACCCCAGCAAGGACCGCGCUGCCAGCGCCUUCCUGCAACAAGCGCCGGGAAACAAAUACAGGCGUUCUUGCUAUGCUUUCCUAGCUCUAAAACUAGAAUCCAGCGGAAAUGUGUCUGCUUUAAACACAAACACCGCUUAGAGCAGCGUCAUGCCUCGCCGAGUUAAUGCGUGCAAAGGGGGGGGUCCUUGGGGCUCACCCCCAGGUACACAUGUGGCAGAGAAUGACUGUCCUGAGCCCAAACGGAGGAACAGCAGCACUCCCAGUUUAGACAAAUACUCUGCAUCGUGAGAAACCUUUUUCAGUGUAAUUUUACUGACUUUUAUCAAGGCAAAAGUCUAUUCUGUUUGGAAAAAUUCACAAGUACUAUCUAAAUCACGAAGUUUCAUAGGAAUAAUUAAGUUGCAUGGAACCUGUCCUGUAACAGAGUAGUUACUUGUUCUCCGGUCAAAAAUUUCAAUUAGAAAAUGCUUCAAUGGAAGAAAAAAUACCCUACCAUGAUCAGAGUUUUGACAACUAAAAUGCAACCAACUUAUUUUAUAAUUAGAUAUGACUACUCAUGCUUUGUACCUAUUAGCCAUUUCACUCCCACAGUGAAAUAAAAAUAAAGUCCAGAAUGUUCAAGAUCC